AUACGUAGGUGGCAAGCGUUGUCCGGAUUUACUGGGUGUAAAGGGUGCGUAGGCGGCUCUGCAAGUCAGGUGUGAAAACCAUCGGCUUAACUGAUGGACUGCAUUUGAAACUGUGGGGCUUGAGUGGAGUAGGGGCAGACGGAAUUCCCGGUGUAGCGGUGAAAUGCGUAGAGAUCGGGAAGAACACUAGUGGCGAAGGCGGUUUGCUGGGCUCUAACUGACGCUGAGGCACGAAAGCAUGGGUAGCAAACAGGAUUAGAUACCCUGGUAGUCCAUGCCGUAAACGAUGAUUACUAGGUGUGGGGAGUCUGACCCUCUCCGUGCCGGAGUUAACACAAUAAGUAAUCCACCUGGGAAGUACGACCGCAAGGUUGAA
rnacentral:rRNA from 1 species